ACCAUCCUUGUCUUGGGGUAGCGCUACUGUCUGAUGAACGAGUAGUGAGGACAGUACUGCUAUCGCCUGCACAGCAAGCCCUUAUCAACUAGAGAUUUGCUUUACUUUCGUGCGAUUUUUAGAAAA
rnacentral:ncRNA from 1 species